rnacentral:lncRNA from 1 species
AUCUACGCAGAGUGAAUCGGUCCCUAAGGAACCCCCGAAAGGGCUGCCGUCCGAUGGGUACACGAAAGUGACGAAGUUGCUUUGACUACUGAACCAUGCCUGUCUGUUGGAGCGAAUUGGAUGAUCGGGCCGAGGGCUGCCCCCUCUUCCCCUCGCUCUCCUUUCCUUAAUAUGAACCUUGAGUCAUCAAAGCCUUAACUAAUUCAGAGGGGCUCGGCUGGCCCGGUCGCCCUACGCUACUGGCGCUUCCAAAGGCGAAGCUCUCGUCUUUGGCGACCAGCAAACGGAGGGCGCGCGCCCUGUAGUUUUGAAGCAGGGGCGGACACUUUUUUUCUCUAAAGGCGAAGACUCUUAAGUGGGCGAACACUCGGCCCAGCGGGCGAACAUGCCGGGCUCCGGCUCCGCGCACCUGCUGACACCUUUCGAAGCACUUUCACGUGUGAACCGAAGUCGUCUUGCGUCACUCGUUCCUUUCUCAUUUCAGUGCUCGCCUUUUUUCAUCUUCCGUAGGGGCCUUGAUUUGAUUAGAGUAGAGGUCGCGAGAGAGCAGAGCGUACCGC